rnacentral:rRNA from 1 species
AAAUUGAAGAGUUUGAUCAUGGCUCAGAUUGAACGCUGGCGGCAGGCCUAACACAUGCAAGUCGAGCGGAAACGAGUUAACUGAAC